UACGUAGGGUCCGAGCGUUGUCCGGAAUUAUUGGGCGUAAAGGGCUCGUAGGCGGUUUGUCGCGUCGGGAGUGAAAACACCGGGCUUUACUCGGUGCUUGCUUUCGAUACGGGCAGACUUGAGGUAUGCAGGGGAGAACGGAAUUCCUGGUGUAGCGGUGAAAUGCGCAGAUAUCAGGAGGAACACCGGUGGCGAAGGCGGGUCUCUGGGCCGAUACUGACGCUGAGGAGCGAAAGCGUGGGGAGCGAACAGG
rnacentral:rRNA from 1 species